rnacentral:pre_miRNA from 1 species
UUUUUAGCAUAAAUGUAUCCCAUGCAAUAUUUGGGAUAUAUUUAUACUAAGC